rnacentral:rRNA from 1 species
UAAGGAAUAUUGCUCAAUGGGAGAAAUCCUGAAGCAGCAACGCCGCGUGGAGGAUGAAGGGUCUAUGACUUGUAAACUCCUGUAAAGAAGGAAAAAAUUCCCAUUUGAUGGGAGAUGAUGGUACUUCUGGAGUAAGCCCCGGCUAACUACGUGCCAGCAGCCGCGGUAAUACGUAGGGGGCAAGCGUUGUCCGGAUUUACUGGGUGUAAAGGGUGCUCAGGCUGAUUUGUAAGUCAGAGGUGAAAUCUUACAGCUUAACUGUGAAACUGCCUUUGAUACUGCAAGCCUAGAGUAUGGAAGAGAGUGAUGGAAUAUCUGGUGUAGCAGUGAAAUGCGUAGAUAUCAGAUAGAACACCAAUGGCGAAGGCAGUCACUUGGUCCAUUACUGACGCUAAAGCACGAAAGCGUGGGUAGCAAACA